CAGUAGCCACGGGAAUACGGAGGGGGCUAGCGUUGUUCGGAAUUACUGGGCGUAAAGCGCACGUAGGCGGCUUGGUAAGUUAGAGGUGAAAGCCCGGAGCUCAACUCCGGAAUUGCCUUUAAGACUGCCGAGCUAGCAGGUGAGAGAGGUAAGUGGAAUUCCGAGUGUAGAGGUGAAAUUCGUAGAUAUUCGGAAGAACACCAGUGGCGAAGGCGGCUUACUGGUUCAUACUGGACGCUGAGGUGCGAAAGCGUGGGGAGCAAACAGGAUUAGAUACCCCCGUAGUCCCUGUCUCUUAUAC
rnacentral:rRNA from 1 species